UGCAAGUCGAACGAGUUCUGAUUAUUGAAAGGUGCUUGCAUCUUGAUUUAAUUUUGAACGAGUGGCGGACGGGUGAGUAACACGUGGGUAACCUGCCCUUAAGUGGGGGAUAACAUUUGGAAACAGAUGCUAAUACCGCAUAAAUCCAAGAACCGCAUGGUUCUUGGCUGAAAGAUGGCGUAAGCUAUCGCUUUUGGAUGGACCCGCGGCGUAUUAGCUAGUUGGUGAGGUAACGGCUCACCAAGGCAAUGAUACGUAGCCGAACUGAGAGGUUGAUCGGCCACAUUGGGACUGAGACACGGCCCAAACUCCUACGGGAGGCAGCAGUAGGGAAUCUUCCACAAUGGACGCAAGUCUGAUGGAGCAACGCCGCGUGAGUGAAGAAGGCUUUCGGGUCGUAAAACUCUGUUGUUGGAGAAGAAUGGUCGGCAGAGUAACUGUUGUCGGCGUGACGGUAUCCAACCAGAAAGCCACGGCUAACUACGUGCCAGCAGCCGCGGUAAUACGUAGGUGGCAAGCGUUAUCCGGAUUUAUUGGGCGUAAAGCGAGCGCAGGCGGUUUUUUAAGUCUGAUGUGAAAGCCCUCGGCUUAACCGAGGAAGUGCAUCGGAACUGGAAAACUUGAGUGCAGAAGAGGACAGUGGAACUCCAUGUGUAGCGGUGAAAUGCGUAGAUAUAUGGAAGAACACCAGUGGCGAAGGCGGCUGUCUGGUCUGUAACUGACGCUGAGGCUCGAAAGCAUGGGUAGCGAACAGGAUUAGAUACCCUGGUAGUCCAUGCCGUAAACGAUGAAUGCUAGGUGUUGGAGGGUUUCCGCCCUUCAGUGCCGCAGCUAACGCAUUAAGCAUUCCGCCUGGGGAGUACGACCGCAAGGUUGAAACUCAAAGGAAUUGACGGGGGCCCGCACAAGCGGUGGAGCAUGUGGUUUAAUUCGAAGCAACGCGAAGAACCUUACCAGGUCUUGACAUCUUUUGAUCACCUGAGAGAUCAGGUUUCCCCUUCGGGGGCAAAAUGACAGGUGGUGCAUGGUUGUCGUCAGCUCGUGUCGUGAGAUGUUGGGUUAAGUCCCGCAACGAGCGCAACCCUUAUGACUAGUUGCCAGCAUUUAGUUGGGCACUCUAGUAAGACUGCCGGUGACAAACCGGAGGAAGGUGGGGAUGACGUCAAAUCAUCAUGCCCCUUAUGACCUGGGCUACACACGUGCUACAAUGGAUGGUACAACGAGUUGCGAGACCGCGAGGUCAAGCUAAUCUCUUAAAGCCAUUCUCAGUUCGGACUGUAGGCUGCAACUCGCCUACACGAAGUCGGAAUCGCUAGUAAUCGCGGAUCAGCACGCCGCGGUGAAUACGUUCCCGGGCCUUGUACACACCGCCCGUCACACCAUGAGAGUUUGUAACACCCGAAGCCGGUGGCGUAACCCUUUUAGGGAGCGAGCCGUCU
rnacentral:rRNA from 1 species